UGAUAUUGUAAAGCUUGCAAAGAUUAACAGGUAAAUGUAUAUGCUGGUUUCUAGGUUACGUUCAGAGCGGUGGAUAGUAAACAUUUAGAAAAUAACACAAAAUAGAAAGAGCUACCAGUAAACUGUUAACAGAAAUAUGUAUUGAAUUGUUUAAAAAAAUUAAAGCAUCAAUUCCUCCUGUCAAUCAUAGGGAAGAGUGCUGACUUGAUGGAUGUCCAGAAGCCAGUCAUCCACACCCUUCACUAUGAGGCAGAGGGAGCGGAGAUGGAAACACCCUGAGGAUAAAAUCUGCCACUUGCUAUAUAUUGACCCAACACCCCUGCACUGUUUCCAAAUGAAUUGGACUUACGACGGAGAGGUGACUGGUCUGCAGAACGGCUUCAGGUGUGAGGGUCAAAGGUUGUGAGGAGUUAUUCAGAAGAAGAAAAAAAAAUGUUUACAAGUAGCAGAGAGAUUAGAAAUCCCAGUCAAUUCAGGUGUACAAGAGUAGAAACAGCAAUCCUCCCACAGACUCUUAAUUCCACACUGUUGAUAUGAAGAAGAAUUGAAUAAAUAAAUGAAUAAAACAUGUUUAAUAUUUUAUUUAAGUGGAUUACAUACUUUUGCCUAAAUGUUGUUGAUUUUUAUAGCUGGACCUUUUUUUUUCCUAAAUGUCCACAGUCUUUCACCUUUUCAAGACCUAUAACACAGAUCAUAGAUCUGAAAGGGAAACCUAGAAGUCACUUUCUACAGCAACAAUCUGCAGCUCAUUCUGCGAGGGGUCCAAGGAUGUUCCCAGGCUGAAACAGAUAUGUAGUACCUCCAAUGAGUUCUGGCUUUGCCAUGGGGUCUCCUCUGUGUGACGUUCCCAGAAACACUCUAAAGUUUGUGAAAGUAAACUGCUCAGGCACUUUGAGAA